rnacentral:tRNA from 1 species
GGCGACAUAGCUCAGGAGGUAAGAGCGAUUGUCUGGCAGUCGGAAGGUUGCUGAUUCAAACCCUGCUCUGGGCG